rnacentral:rRNA from 1 species
AGCGGCCGUAGCAAUACGGCAGCGGCAGACGGGAUAGUUAUCGNUGGGAACGCGAAAAAUAAGUCUGGAAUAACCCAGGGAAACUUGGGCUAAUACCGGAUACGCCCUUACGGGGAAAGAUUUAUUGCUGAAGGAACGGCCCGCGUCCGAUUAGCUAGUUGGUGAGGUAACGGCUCACCAAGGCGACGAUCGGUAGCUGGUCUGAGAGGAUGACCAGCCUCACUGGGACUGAGACACGGCCCUUACUCCUACGGGAGGCAGCAGUGGG